rnacentral:rRNA from 2 species
UCGAACGGUAGCACAGAGAGCUUGCUCUCGGGUGACGAGUGGCGGACGGGUGAGUAAUGUCUGGGAAACUGCCUGAUGGAGGGGGAUAACUACUGGAAACGGUAGCUAAUACCGCAUAACGUCGCAAGACCAAAGAGGGGGACCUUCGGGCCUCUUGCCAUCAGAUGUGCCCAGAUGGGAUUAGCUAGUAGGUGGGGUAACGGCUCACCUAGGCGACGAUCCCUAGCUGGUCUGAGAGGAUGACCAGCCACACUGGAACUGAGACACGGUCCAGACUCCUACGGGAGGCAGCAGUGGGGAAUAUUGCACAAUGGGCGCAAGCCUGAUGCAGCCAUGCCGCGUGUAUGAAGAAGGCCUUCGGGUUGUAAAGUACUUUCAGCGGGGAGGAAGGUGUUGUGGUUAAUAACCACAGCAAUUGACGUUACCCGCAGAAGAAGCACCGGCUAACUCCGUGCCAGCAGCCGCGGUAAUACGGAGGGUGCAAGCGUUAAUCGGAAUUACUGGGCGUAAAGCGCACGCAGGCGGUCUGUCAAGUCGGAUGUGAAAUCCCCGGGCUCAACCUGGGAACUGC